rfam:Aspergillus niger supercontig An03
GACCAAUUGGCCUAGUGGUUAUGGCGUCUGUCUUACAUAAGCAAGUGUGAGCACAGAAGGUCGCAGGUUCGAUCCCUGCAUUGGUCA